rnacentral:lncRNA from 1 species
AGGAGGGGCGGCGUGAAGCGCAUCUCCGGCCUCAUCUACGAGGAGACCCGUGGCGUCCUCAAGAUCUUCCUCGAGAACGUCAUCCGCGACGCCGUCACCUACACCGAGCACGCCCGCCGCAAGACCGUCACCGCCAUGGACGUCGUCUACGCGCUCAAGCGCCAGGGCCGCACCCUCUACGGCUUCGGAGGCUAGAUCCGUCUAGUGGAGCAACUUCCUCGUUUGCUCUGUGUGACAUGUAUCGUGCUAGAUGGGAUUUACUGCUUUGGCGUGCGUCGUUGUGUUCUGUCUUGGGUUCAGUAGGCUGUGUAAUACCUGUUCAAUGCAAUCAGUUCGAUUCUGAAUCCUGAC